rnacentral:rRNA from 1 species
CCCUUAGAUGUUCUGGGCCACACGCGCGCUACACUGAUGCAUUCAACAAGUUCUACCUUGGCCGAGAGGCCUGGGAAAUCUUUCAAAUAUGUAUCGUGAUAGGGAUAGAUUAUUGCAAUUAUUAAUCUUGAACGAGGAAUUCCUAGUAAAUGCAGAUCAUCAUUCUGCGUUGAUUACGUCCCUGCCCUUUGUACACACCGCCCGUCGCACCUACCGAUUGAAUGAUCCGGUGAAGCCUCGGGAUUGUGCCCAGAGAACUUUAUUGUGAUUUGGGUGUGAGAACUUGUCUAAACCUUAUCAUUUAGAGGAAGGUGAAGUCGUAACA